rnacentral:lncRNA from 1 species
AGAUCUGAGAAGGUAACAGCCAUUUUAGUGAUUUUAGAGAGUGAAAUGAUGGGACUGAAACUGAAGUCGGGGAGUGGAGAGAGAAGAAAGAGCAGAGAGUGAGCGUUUUUAUAUUGGUGGAUGAAGAAACCCUAGAGAGUAUAUUCUUUUUUCCUUCCAAUUCAUGCUUAAUAAAAGUAAAAAAGAAUUUAUUUUCUUUCUUGUUCUAUUUUUCAUUAACCGAUGAUCUUCUCCACCACUUCUUA